AUUGAACGCUGGCGGCAUGCCUUACACAUGCAAGUCGAACGGCAGCACGGGAGCAAUCCUGGUGGCGAGUGGCGAACGGGUGAGUAAUAUAUCGGAACGUGCCCAGUCGUGGGGAUAACGUAGCGAAAGCUACGCUAAUACCGCAUACGAUCUAUGGAUGAAAGCGGGGGAUCGCAAGACCUCGCGCGAUUGGAGCGGCCGAUAUCAGAUUAGGUAGUUGGUGAGGGUAAAGGGCUCACCAAGCCGACGAUCUGUAGCUGGUCUGAGAGGACGACCAGCCACACUGGGACUGAGACACGGCCCAGACUCCUACGGGAGCAGCAGUGGGGAAUAUUGGACAAUGGGCGAAAGCCUGAUCCAGCAAUGCCGCGUGAGUGAUGAAGGCCUAGGUUGUAAAGCUCUUUUACCAGGGAUGAUAAUGACAGUACCUGGAGAAUAAGCUCCGGCUAACUCCGUGCCAGCAGCCGACGG
rnacentral:rRNA from 1 species